ensembl:lincRNA 2700038G22Rik RIKEN cDNA 2700038G22 gene
GUUCUUCCGCCGCAGCGCGCUCCUGAUGAGUGCUGUGUCCAGGAUGAUCAUGAAUUCAAGCUCUGGAGCUUGAGAUGAACUGGUCCGACUUCUAGAAGAGAAGGUUUUUUCCCCCCCAGGAAAAGCCAGUGCAGUUACCUGACAGUGAGUAAACCCGGUGUUUCUCGUGGUUUCGUCAGAUCUACCAUCGCCUGGCAGGUACUUAAAAUGGCUGCCUGAACUUAAACUGGGAGGGUAGCCAUUAGGAGAUAGAAACCUACCUCCCAUAUUUCUUAGGAGUCUUGUGAUUUGGAGACUCCAUUUGUUCUUCAUUCCUCCCUAAAUGGCCAACCACCGUGGGCAAGGGUUCACCUGCCACUCAUAAGCCUAGCCUGAGCUGUGCAGUGGUGCUGCAUACCUUUAAUCCUGGCAGAGGCGGGUGCAUUUCUGAAUAUGAGGCCAGCCUGGCCUACAGAGCAAAUUCCAAAACAGCUAAGGCUACACAGAGAAACCAAACCACUCCAGCCUGAUUGUUUCAAGUACAGACCUUUCCUGAAGGUUCAGGCUUGGGCCUACUCAACUCCAUAGGCCCAAAGGCUAAUUCUUGAUAAAGUCAGUUAGGCUUCUGUUUCCUUGCUAGACACCUGGCCUCUCAGAGUCAAGUAACCUUCCCUCUCCCCUGACUUGAUUUAUAUAAGCCAGUCCUGCUAGUUCAAUAAUUGAGCUGUUCUCCGAAACAGUAUCCUAGGGUAGAAACAUAGAUUUAGCGGUGAAGAUGACCAGACCAAGUCUGCAGCCACCAAAACAAGAUUACUAGUUCUCAGAAAAAUUUUCCUGCCCUUCCCUGCACUGAAUUCCAAAGAAAACCACAAAGUGCCCUGAUCUUGCCACCAAAAUUCCCUGAGAUACUAAUUAGCUGACCAAUGAAUUUACAAAUAUAUUGCUGCUUUGCUGACCAAUCACAAUAUGACUAUUCAACCCUCCAUAAAAAGAGUAUAAAAAGAGCUGUGCUUGGGCUGGUGAGAUGGCUCAGUGGGUAAGAGCACCCGACUGCUCUUCCAAAGGUCCAGUGUUCAAGUCCCAGCAACCACAUGGUGGCUCACAACCAUCCGUAACAAUGUCUGAUGCCCUCUUCUGGAGUGUCUGAAGACAGCUACAGUGUACUUCUUAAAUAAAUAAAUAAAUCUUUAAAAAAAAAAAAGAGCUGUGCUUUUAGAGCUGGGGGUUGACUCUCCUUGUGAGGCUGAGCAACCCCGAGCGCGCACGCAUGGGAGCAAUAAACAUCUUGCCAUUGCAACAA